GGGGGACGUGUUAUGUAUUAGCUGGUGAGAGGAUGGCUUGAGGAGCAAGCUUGCUGGGGAGGUUACAGAGAGAAGAGGCAACCAGAGAAAGAAGGUAGCUGAGAGCGUAAGAAGAUAUGGUGGGUUGGAGAGCAUUUUUUUUAGGAGAGAUAGCUUAAGGAGGAAGGACUGAGGGGAAUUCUUGUGGCUGGUUGCUUGAGAGGAAAGGUAACUGAGAGAAAACAGAGGAGGAAGGGAAGUGGGAGACCAUGGUGAGCAGAGUUUGAAAACCAUGGGAAAGCAGCUUGAAGAGGACUGGCUCGAGAGAAGAGGGAGGGUAUUUUCUGGAGCAGAAAGAAUGAAGUAGAGUAACUUGAUACCCAACUAGCCUCGCAGGAAGAGAGCAUUUUCAGGUGGUUCUGGAUACUUAAUUGGGUCUUACAAGGGGCAAGGUUGUCAGCCAAUCAUCAGAUAUGAGACGCUAGCACUUUGAGAGCAUGGGAUGGAUGUUCAGCUAAGAUUGUUAGCAGAAAAGAAGGGUGUUGUAGAAAAAUUGAAUUCACUUGAGGAGAAAGGGAAAUAUUCAAAAGCAGAAUCAAUUUAUGUACAGGUGCUUAUGAGGAUGGGCAACGUGUCAGCAUCGAUGUUAUGUCAUCCAUUUUCGAGGAGCAGUCUGCUGUCGAUAAGCAAAUGAGUGUCUAGACAAAAUACCAACAGGGUUUGAUUCAGUGGUUUGAACUGCCUCGCUGGGAGGUUGUGAGAACAUGAUGAAAACCCAGAUUCUCUUGCUUACUUCUAGGGAGCUACUCCACAAGUUCCUCUCCUAUGCCUGCAGACAUGCAACUUUGGCCACUCAUGGCCACAUUUUCUCUCUGUAUUGAACAUACGACUCUCUUCAUAGUUCAUGUUUUGUGCUCAACCCAGGACCAUUCUCCAAACACUACAUUUUGAUCGAUUUCUGGGUUUAAGGGUUGAUUGCAUGUCUCAAUGAUGAAAGAUGAUCCUCUUGACAAA